GCUUAUAAACAGUCAAAUAUUAAAUGUAUACGCCAACAGAGGGAGUGAGCGUCGCCGUAGUAGGGACGACAUCCGUCGGCCGAAUCGCCUCGGAAAGAAACUAGAUAGUUGUGUGGCGUUCACCGUACUGCUGUGUAUCGUAACGGGUCGUUGUUUUUACUUAGAUUUUGAGUCUACUCGUUAUUUAUUAAUUAAGAUUUUUAAUAUUAUAAACGAAUUGUUCAUAUUUUAUGCCCGAAGUUAACACAAGUAACUGUCUUGAUCCUUGACUACUAGAUCAAGAAAAUGAUUCUAAUUUAUAAUUUUUAACUUUCAUUUUUUUCAUUUUACCUGAUAUUUUUACUUCAUAAAAACUAUAAAAUAUGAUUUUAUAAGUUAAUAUUGACGAAUAAUACAACUUAACAUUUUUUCGUAUUGAAAAGGAGCGAUUUUCAGUUGUUGUGCAAAUGUAUUCUUUAGUUAAACUCAUAAUACAUUUGAAUUCCUUCUACAAAACAUUCUGGUACAUUUGUACUAUCUUUUAUGGCUUAUCAUAAUUAUUAUUUAUUAUCAUCUGUUAUCUAUGUUUUGCAGUUCUACAUUCGUUUUUGUAUUUAAGUUUCAAUUGUAAAUUCCUUUCAUGUAUUUUGUAUAAAAAUGAAGUUUGUCUGUUAGUUUAUGUUUUGAUAGUUUCCACUUCUGAAUUACUCAGUGUUGUCCACGUACUAGUUGUUAUAUAAAAAUUGUCGUUCUCCUUAUGGUAUCUAGUAGUGACGUUUUGUCCUCCAACCAUUAUACAGAUUUAACUUACUAUUUUUUUUUAGAUGGCUGUACACCAGAUAUACUCAGGACAUAUUGAUACAUGAAUUACCAUUUCUACCACAUGGGAAAGUUUCAACAUCCUACGUUGAAAAUGGACUGGACGAUCCUGAUAAUAAUAAUAGUUUUAUGCAUAAUUGACGUAUGUCAGAUCACUCAAGGCAUGCAGAAACAUGAAUUCACAUUUCUACCACUUAAGAAAGUAUCAACAUCCUAUGCUGAAAAUGGACUAGAAGAUACUGCUAAUAAUAUUGGGUUUAUGUAAUGUGCGUGUAAGGGUUAUUGAAUAUAAUUGAUAGUAAAUUAAUGGCAGUGAAACAAUUGAGAUUCGUUAAUAAUCUGAAUAAAAUUUUAGUUAACACCUUUGACUUGUAAUUUUCAUUCAUAAGAGUUACCAUUAUUAACUUGUAUACAUUUCAUUUGAGCUGA